rnacentral:rRNA from 1 species
UACGUAGGGUGCGAGCGUUGCCCGGAUUUAUUGGGCGUAAAGGGCGCGUAGGCGGCCUGCUAAGUCGAACGUGAAAUCCCUGGGCUCAACCCAGGAACUGCGUCCGAUACUGGUUGGCUUGAAUCCGGGAGAGGGAUGCGGAAUUCCAGGUGUAGCGGUGAAAUGCGUAGAUAUCUGGAGGAACACCGGUGGCGAAGGCGGCAUCCUGGACCGGUAUUGACGCUGAGGCGCGAAAGCUAGGGGAGCAAACGGG